rnacentral:rRNA from 1 species
GCGUGAGUGAUGAAGGCCUUAGGGUCGUAAAGCUCUUUCGCCUGUGAAGAUAAUGACUGUAGCAGGUAAAGAAACCCCGGCUAACUCCGUGCCAGCAGCCGCGGUAAUACGGAGGGGGUUAGCGUUGUUCGGAAUUACUGGGCGUAAAGCGCACGUAGGCGGAUUAGUUAGUCAGAGGUGAAAUCCCGGGGCUCAACCCCGGAACUGCCUUUGAUACUGCUAGUCUAGAGUUCGAGAGAGGUGAGUGGAAUUCCGAGUGUAGAGGUGAAAUUCGU